AACGAACGCUGGCGGCAGGCUUAACACAUGCAAGUCGAACGCAUCGCAAGAUGAGUGGCAGACGGGUGAGUAACGCGUGGGAACAUACCCUUUUCUACGGAAUAGCUCUGGGAAACUGGAAUUAAUACCGUAUACGCCCUCCGGGGGAAAGAUUUAUCGGGGAAGGAUUGGCCAGCGUUGGAUUAGCUAGUUGGUGGGGGAAAGGCCUACCAAGGCGACGAUCCAUAGCUGGUCUGAGAGGAUGAUCAGCCACAUUGGGACUGAGACACGGCCCAAACUCCUACGGGAGGCAGCAGUGGGGAAUAUUGGACAAUGGGCGCAAGCCUGACCCAGCCAUGCCGCGUGAGUGAUGAAGGCCUUAGGGUUGUAAAGCUCUUUCACCGAUGAAGAUAAUGACGGUAGUCGGAGAAGAAGCCCCGGCUAACUUCGUGCCAGCCGCCGCAGUAA
rnacentral:rRNA from 1 species